CCACCUUAGGUCUGAAUCUGAGUGCUUGUCAACAAGUUGCAUAUUUUGGUGUCAAAUAAUUGCCAGUUGUCAUCCGCAGGAGAAGAAGUAAAAUACAGAGCCAAGAAGGGCCCAUUUAGGAAAAUUUCACCAUUAACUCAAUUGCCGGAGCCUAUGCAAAUGAAUUCCCAGCGCUAAAGCAAUCAUAUUUCCAUAGUUUACACAGUUCCAUGGAGAGGCUCGUGUGAUUGCCCCAGCGAUUUCUCUAUUAACUAUAAGCAGGUGCCUAGACAGAGCUGGAGCUGAAGUUAAAGAUACAUGCAGGCAGUCCACAUGUGCAUGGAUGUGGCUGUCUCUGAUGCGCCAUGCGAGUUGUUGUUGCCGUUGCAGUUGUCUACGUUGCAGUUCCUCCAAACCCAAAGCACAUUAUGAAUGAAUAAUGUAUGAAUGAAAAUUGCAUGCACGUGCCUUUAAGCUAUAAAA